AGCCUGAACGCUGGCGGCGUGGCUAAGACAUGCAAGUCGUACGGUGUAGCAAUACACAGUGGCGAACGGGAGAGUAAUGAAUCGCUAAUGUGCCCCGGACUCUGGGAUAGCCAGCCGAAAGGCUGGGUAAUACCAGAUGAGACCACGAACAGGCAUCUGUUUGUGCUCAAAGGUCCGCCGGUCUGGGAGCAGGCGAUUUUGUAUCAGCUAGUUGGUGAGGUAACGGCUCACCAAGGCGACGACGCAUAGCCGGACUGAGAGGUUGGCCGGCCUCAUUGGGACUGAGACACUGCCCAGACUCCUACGGGGGGCUGCAGUAACGAAUCUUCCGCAAUGCACGAAAGUGUGACGGAGCGACGCCGCGUGUGGACGAAGUUCUUCGGAAUGUAAACCACUGUCAGGGAAAGAAAGUUCUGAUCUACCCCAGAGGAAGAGGCGGCUAACUCUGUGCCAGCAGCCGC
rnacentral:rRNA from 1 species